GCGCCGUCCUCGCGUGCUAAGUAGGCACGCUAGCCACCUCCCUGCUCCGUGCCCCACACAUCUGACCCCGCCGCUAUGUUGGGAUGAUGUGCUACUGUGCAGAACAGUGCCUCGACAAACUACAUGAGGUUGGGUUGUGUGAUUGGACCCUGUUUGUGUGCCAGCAGGAAGGGACAAGCAAGAGAAAGUACUGCUAUUCCACUGGAUUUUACUUCCUUUGAUUUCACCAAACUUUGUAUUAUUAUUUUCUUCUGGUAUAGUUCUGCCAAUUUUUUUGCUUCAAUUAGCACAGGAAUAAUGAAGUGAUAUUCAUUCAGUUGUUAUCAGUUCACUAUUUUGAAAUGUGAUCUUGCUUGUUACAGCCUGGUGAACAGUUUGCUCUUUUGCUGUCAAAUACUUUGUUGUUGGCUUACUUUUGAAUACAGAUUGGAUGCCUCGCUGCAUGUUACUCCCAAGAGAAGAUCUCACUCAAGAAGUGGCCAAACUGAGGUGCCAGGUGAUUGGCAUGCUUGAGGAAGAAUACAAGCAUUGGUGCUGCAUUGAGCAACUGAUGGUUCAAAAAAAAAUCAGCAGCUGGAGGUUCAGGAAGUGGAAAAG